rnacentral:rRNA from 1 species
GUUUUAAGCUCAUCGGCCUUCCACGAAAAUAGGAGUACUCCGGCUGCAGACGCAAACCCAAACCAAGCGAAAAAUAUCCACUGAAUCUCUCUCGCUGCUCGCGGCCGCGGCGACCGGACUAAGGAAGGAAUCGAAGGCGACGAUGGCGUGCCGAGCCCUCGCGCUCCGCUCCUUGCUGCUCCCCGACCCCCUCCACCACUUGAGUCUCCGCGCCGCCGCGUCGGCCCAGGCGGCGCCGUUUCCUUGUCGCCGCCGCCGCCGCAACAUCCGCUGCUGCUCCAGCUCCAGUGGGGGCGGGCCCGGGGAGCAGGGACAGCCGCCGCAGGAGGCCGUGCUCGAGGCCAUAUCAAAGGUGGCAAAGUCUAAAGGAAGGGUUGCACUCACAACAAAUAUGGUCAUAGGUGGCACUGUUACAGAUGAUUCAAGUGAUGAAUGGCUUGUUCUGGAUCAGAAGGUGAAUACAUAUCCCACAGACAGAGGAUUUACAGCAAUUGGUACUGGAGGUGAAGAUUUUGUCCAUUCUAUGGUUGAUGCUGUUGAAUCGGUUCUUCAAGAAUCGAUUCCAAAGGGCCAAGUAAGUCAGAAAAUAUCUUCCAGGGGAAAAUAUGUUUCUGUAAAAAUUGGGCCAAUACGUGUGGCUUCAAGUGAGCAGGUCCAGGCUGUAUACCGUGCCAUGAGAAGAGAUAACAGGAUGAAAUACUUCUUAUGAACUGCAAUUACUCAUUCCUGUUUAGUUCCUUCCAUCUUGUAACACCGGCGUCCUGUUAUAUGUUUUGCUGUACUUGUAAGUGCUGUCUCAAAUGGAAAUAUUGUGUUUGGUUUUCCGGUUCAUCGGCUCCAUGCGACAUAAAGAUCCCCCCUGCAGGCUGGAGCUUUUGUGAACUGAUGAGGAAGAACAUUGUGUGUUACUUUGGCCCAAAUAGAAAUUGCUCCAUUUUUCAGACAGGCACUACAAUGUAACAGCACGGUUUUCAUUACACUAUAGCGAACAUGUUUACAUAACGUUUAAAGAUGCUUGUAGUUUUGGGAUUUGUGGAAACGUCUAUGAAAUCUGUAUACAUUUCAGUUUAAUGCUCCAAAAUUGCCGAUGCAAGUCUUGAGUCCUGCUGCC